rnacentral:rRNA from 1 species
GGAUCAAUAUGUCGGUCGUGCCUCGGUACGUACUGGCGUAAUUGAUUUCUCCCUUCUGAAGAACCUCGAUGUCAUUAAUUUGGUGUCGUGGGGAAUCAGGACUGUUACUUUGAAAAAAUUAGAGUGUUUAAAGCAGGCUCGCGCUUGAAUACAUUAGCAUGGAAUAAUGAAAUAGGACGUUUGAUUCUACUUUGUUGGUUUCUAGGAUUGACGUAAUGAU